GACGGAAGGUGCAAGCGUUGCUCGGAAUUACUGGGCGUAAAGGGCGCGUAGGCGGCUUGGUAGGUCUGGUGUGAAAGCCCCGGGCUCAGCCCGGGAAGGGCACUAGAAACUGCCGAGCUAGAGUGCCGGAGGGGAGAGUGGAAUUCCUGGUGUAGCGGUGAAAUGCGUAGAGAUCAGGAGGAAUACCGGUGGCGAAAGCGACUCUCUGGACGGCAACUGACGCUGAGGCGCGAAAGCGUGGGGAGCAAACAGG
rnacentral:rRNA from 1 species